AGACGCUGGCGGCGCGUUUUAGCAUGCAAGUCGAACGGUAGCGGGGCUUCGGCCCUGUGAGAGUGGCGAACGGGUGAGUAACACGUAGGUGAUCUGCCCUUGAGUUGGGGAUAGCCCAUGGAAACAUGGGGUAAUACCGAAUAGGUUCGGGGGGCUGUGGCUUUCCGAGCAAAGGCGCUUCGGCGCCGCUUGAGGAUGAGCCUGCGGCUGAUUAGCUAGUUGGUAGGGUAAGAGCCUACCAAGGCGACGAUCAGUAGCCGGCCUGAGAGGGUGAACGGCCACACUGGGACUGAGAUACGGCCCAGACUCCUACGGGAGGCAGCAGCUAAGAAUCUUCUGCAAUGGGGGAAACCCUGACAGAGCGACGCCGCGUGGGUGAUGAAGGCCGGAAGGUUGUAAAGCCCUUUUCUAUCCGAGGAAUAACGGCAGGAGGCAAUGCCUGGCGGAUGACGGUAGGGUAGGAAUAAGCCCCGGCCAAUUACGUGCCAGCAGCCGCGGUAACACGUAUGGGGCGAGCGUUGUUCGGAAUCAUUGGGCGUAAAGGGCGCGUAGGCGGAUGUGCAAGCUUGGUGUGAAAGCCCGCAGCUUAACUGCGGAGGCGCGCUGAGAACUGCGCCAUCUGGAGUUCAAGAGGGGAAGCUGGAAUUCCUGGGUGUAGGGGUGAAAUCUGUAGAGAUCAGGAAGAACAUCGGUGGCGAAGGCGAGCUUCUGGCUAUGAACUGACGCUGAGGCGCGAAAGCGUGGGGAGCGAACAGGAUUAGAUACCCUGGUAGUCCACGCUGUAA
rnacentral:rRNA from 1 species